UACGGAGGGAGCUAGCGUUGUUCGGAAUUACUGGGCGUAAAGCGCACGUAGGCGGCUAUUCAAGUCAGAGGUGAAAGCCCAGGGCUCAACCUUGGAACUGCCUUUGAAACUAGAUAGCUAGAAUCCUGGAGAGGCGAGUGGAACUCCGAGUGUAGAGGUGAAAUUCGUAGAUAUUCGCAAGAACACCAGUGGCGAAGGCGGCUCACUGGCCCAAUACUGACGCUGAGGCACGAAAGCGUGGGGAGCAAACAGG
rnacentral:rRNA from 1 species